AUAAGCAUCUAUACUGUGAAACUGCGAAUGGCUCAUUAAAUCAGUUAUCGUUUAUUUGAUAGUACCUUACUACAUGGAUACCUGUGGUAAUUCUAGAGCUAAUACAUGCUAAAAACCCCGACUUCGGGAGGGGUGUAUUUAUUAGAUAAAAAACCAAUGCCCCUCGGGGCUCCUUGGUGAAUCAUAAUAACUUAACGAAUCGCAUGGCCUUGCGCCGGCGAUGGUUCAUUCAAAUUUCUGCCCUAUCAACUUUCGAUGGUAGGAUAGUGGCCUACCAUGGUGGCAACGGGUAACGGGGAAUUAGGGUUCGAUUCCGGAGAGGGAGCCUGAGAAACGGCUACCACAUCCAAGGAAGGCAGCAGGCGCGCAAAUUACCCAAUCCCGACACGGGGAGGUAGUGACAAUAAAUACUGAUACGGGGCUCUUUUGGGUCUCGUAAUUGGAAUGAGUACAAUCUAAAUCCCUUAACGAGGAACAAUUGGAGGGCAAGUCUGGUGCCAGCAGCCGCGGUAAUUCCAGCUCCAAUAGCGUAUAUUAAAGUUGUUGCAGUUAAAAAGCUCGUAGUUGAACCUUGGGUCUGGCUGGCCCGGUCCGCCUCACCGCGAGUACUGGUCCGGCUGGACCUUUCCUUCUGGGAAAUCCAUGGCCUCCACUGGCUGUGGGUGGAACAGGACUUAACUGUGAAAAAAUAGAGUGUCAAAGCA
rnacentral:rRNA from 1 species